UAAAAAAAAAACACGCAAAAAACUUUACGUGGAACAUGUCCAAUUUUUCUUGAGAGAGACUGAGAGAAAGAAAAAAGUAGUUAGGGUUCAUCAAAAUUUUGGGCAAAGUCUAACAAAUUGGUCUGCAAUUCGCAAUUAGGGCUCGAGCUUAUCUCGAAUUUCUUGCAAUUCUCUGCGAAAUUGUCUACGAAGUUCUCUGCGAAAUUCGAAUGCGAAAUUAGUCUAUUCAUCGAGUGGGAGGAUUGAAUUGGGGCUUUCCAUUAAUAAUUCGAAUAAGUUAAGGAGGAGAAAUUCUACUUCAACCAUCUACUACUAUUCACGAUGUCACGUCGGAACAUAGAUAAUCUCAGUCCAACUGCUAUUGCAAUUGUUUGAGGAGCAUGUUGCGCUAAAUGGAGAAGAAAUAUAGAUCUAGCAAUGAGACGGUGGAGGCUCUUAUUUGUUUUGGGUUGUUUUGUAAUUCCUAGUAACGUUGAAUUUCUUUCUAUGGAUUUUAAUUUUAUGUACUUUUGUCAUUAAAAACACCAAAUUAAUUAGUGAACAACUAUUUUGUAAUGCAUGUGUUCUAUGGGCACUAAUAUUGUAAUAUUACUUUUCAAGUCAAUGAAAAUCUUUUGUUAUUA